rnacentral:rRNA from 1 species
AAAACCGUUAGGAGGGAAGCGAAUGCAGCUGAAGUGGUUCUCUUCCAGGCUCAGGAAGUGUCUUCUCGGUCUGCUGGCGUGCGGAAGCCGUGAGGUGCCGCGUGUCGGACGGCUGGGAGACUAAUCUGCACUCCUGGGGAGAGCCGGCCAGCGACAGUUGAUUCCGGCUCACAAGGACGGCUGGGUAGGUAGCUCCUCCUCCCGGAGGAGAACUAAUUGCCGGGCGUCUGGUAGACUGGGAGCGACUGAGGAGAGUUGUGAACUUUCACACGUGCAGUGCAGGCCCUUUUGGGCCGGGUCACCUCUAUCCGCUUGGGCACCGCUCCGGGGACUGCCCUGCAGUGUCCGCUGACGAAUGUCUGCUCGGUUGGGGGAGUGUCCACUCCUUGCACUGUAGUCGUUGGUGUCCAAAUGGCUGCAUCCGACCCGUCUUGAAACACGGACCAAGGAGUGCAACAUGCGUGCGAGUCUUGGGGUGGCAAACCCAUCGGCGCAAUGAAGGUGAAGGCAGAUUUUGGUCUGCUCAGGCAGGAGCCUCCUCCGGAGGCACACUGUCGACCGAUCCCAGGCUACGCUGUGGCGGGAUUUGAGUAAGAGCGUGCCUGUUGCGACCCGAAAGAUGGUGAACUAUGCCUGAAUAGGGUGAAGCCAGAGGAAACUCUGGUGGAAGCUCGUAGCGAUUCUGACGUGCAAAUCGAUCGUCAAAUUUGGGUAUAGGGGCGAAAGACUAAUCGAACCAUCUAGUAGCUGGUUCCCUCCGAAGUUUCCCUUAGGAUAGCUGGAGCCCGGUGCAGUUUUAUCAGGUAAAGCGAAUGAUUAGAGGUCUUGGGGUUGAAACAACCUCAACCUAUUCUCAAACUUUAAAUGGGUAAGAAGCUCGGCUUGCUCAAGUGAAGUCGGGCACUGAAUGCUGGGGCUCUUAGUGGGCCAUUUUUGGUAAGCAGAACUGGCGAUGUGGGAUGAACCAAAUGCCGGGUUAAGGUGCCCGAAUCGACGCUCAUCAGAUACCAUGAAAGGUGUUGGUUGAUCUAGACAGCAGGACGGUGGCCAUGGAAGUCGGAAUCCGCUAAGGAGUGUGUAACAACUCACCUGCCGAAUCAACUAGCCCUGAAAAUGGAUGGCGCUGAAGCGUCGUACCCAUACCCGGCCGUCAGGCCGAGCGGCCGGACCUGACGUGUAGGAGGGCGCGGUGGUGGCCGUGCAGCCUCUGGCGCGAGCCUGGGUGAAGCUGCCACCGGUGCAGAUCUUGGUGGUAGUAGCAAAUAUUCAAACGAGAGCUUUGAAGACUGAAGUGGAGAAGGGUUCCAUGUGAACAGCAGUUGGACAUGGGUUAGUCGAUCCUAAGAGAAGGGAGAGGUCCUUUUAGAAGGCGCAAUCGCUCCGGCGACCGCGCUGUUCCUCGAAAGGGAAUCGGGUUAACAUUCCCGAACCGGGAUGCGGAUAGGCCCUCGGGCCGUAAGCGGCAACGCAAGCGAACUCGGAGACGUCGGCAGGAGCCCCGGGAAGAGUUCUCUUUUCUUCUUAACGGACUGGCACCCUGGAAUCAGAUUGUCUGGAGAUAGGGUUGAAUGUCCGGUAAAGCACCACACUUGUGGUGGUGUCCGGUGCGCUCUUGACGGCCCGUGAAA